GGCUUGCUGUUGAUAUUUAUAGACAGAAAUAGCUGUAUCGCUCCCUUACAAAAAUUCUACCGUUAGCAUCCUCUGAGUGAAGUAGAAACAAUUGUGUUCAGCGCUUCCUCCAAAGGGAAACAGGAAAAGGAACAAGGAGGACUGCACUUAGGUUUCAGCUGACAAGAGUUACCUUCUGCCUGAGCUAAGGGCUUACAUCCAGUCAAUCUAACUGCUUCAGUUCACGUGGAAGUGUUUCAAAGUGGCCUUCCAGGUAUCUGCUGCAUAGCCUAUGCAGAAAACACAGCAAGGAAAAAGGACAGUCAAAUAGAGAUCUUUUCUUCCCUCUCUUUUCUUUCC
rnacentral:lncRNA from 1 species